rnacentral:rRNA from 1 species
UAGCUACAGGCUUAACACAUGCAAGUCGAGGGGACACGACAUCGAAAGCUUGCUUUUGAUGGGCGUCGACCGGCGCACGGGUGAGUAACGCGUAUCCAACCUGCCCACCACUUGGGGAUAACCUUGCGAAAGUAAGACUAAUACCCAAUGACGUCUCUAGAAGACAUCUGAAAGAGAUUAAAGAUUUAUCGGUGAUGGAUGGGGAUGCGUCUGAUUAGCUUGUUGGCGGGGUAACGGCCCACCAAGGCGACGAUCAGUAGGGGUUCUGAGAGGAAGGUCCCCCACAUUGGAACUGAGACACGGUCCAAACUCCUACGGGAGGCAGCAGUGAGGAAUAUUGGUCAAUGGACGAGAGUCUGAACCAGCCAAGUAGCGUGCAGGAUGACGGCCCUAUGGGUUGUAAACUGCUUUUAUAAGGGAAUAAAGUGAGUCUCGUGAGACUUUUUGCAUGUACCUUAUGAAUAAGGACCGGCUAAUUCCGUGCCAGCAGCCGCGGUAAUACGGAAGGUCCGGGCGUUAUCCGGAUUUAUUGGGUUUAAAGGGAGCGUAGGCCGGAGAUUAAGCGUGUUGUGAAAUGUAGACGCUCAACGUCUGCACUGCAGCGCGAACUGGUUUCCUUGAGUACGCACAAAGUGGGCGGAAUUCGUGGUGUAGCGGUGAAAUGCUUAGAUAUCACGAAGAACUCCGAUUGCGAAGGCAGCUCACUGGAGCGCAACUGACGCUGAAGCUCGAAAGUGCGGGUAACGAACAGGAUUAGAUACCCUGGUAGUCCGCACGGUAAACGAUGGAUGCCCGCUGUUGGUCUGAAUAGGUCAGCGGCCAAGCGAAAGCAUUAAGCAUCCCACCUGGGGAGUACGCCGGCAACGGUGAAACUCAAAGGAAUUGACGGGGGCCCGCACAAGCGGAGGAACAUGUGGUUUAAUUCGAUGAUACGCGAGGAACCUUACCCGGGCUUGAAUUGCAGAGGAAGGAUUUGGAGACAAUGACGCCCUUCGGGGCCUCUGUGAAGGUGCUGCAUGGUUGUCGUCAGCUCGUGCCGUGAGGUGUCGGCUUAAGUGCCAUAACGAGCGCAACCCCUCUCCUUAGUUGCCAUCAGGUCAAGCUGGGCACUCAAGGGACACUGCCACCGUAAGGUGUGAGGAAGGUGGGG